rnacentral:rRNA from 1 species
UGCAAGUCGAACGGGAUUAUUUUUGUAGCAAUACAGGGAUAAUUCAGUGGCGAACGGGUGCGUAACACGUGGGCAAUCUGCCGAAAAGUGGGGGAUAGCUCGCCGAAAGGCGAAUUAAUACCGCAUGUGGUGAGGGACGACAUCUUCCUGAAUCCAAAGCCGGGGUAACCUGGCGCUUUUUGAGGAGCCCGCGGCCUAUCAGCUAGUUGGUGAGGUAACGGCCCACCAAGGCUUUGACGGGUAGCUGGUCUGAGAGGACGACCAGUCACACUGGAACUGAGACACGGUCCAGACACCUACGGGUGGCAGCAGUCGAGAAUUUUUCUCAAUGGGGGAAACCCUGAAGGAGCGACGCCGCGUGGAGGAUGAAGGCUUUCGGGUUGUAAACUCCUGUCAUUUGGGAACAAGUUGUACGUGUUUACUGCGCGUGCAUUGAUAGUACCAGAAGAGGAAGGGGCGGCUAACUCUGUGCCAGCAGCCGCGGUAAUACAGAGGUCCCAAGCGUUGUUCGGAUUCAUUGGGCGUAAAGGGUGCGUAGGUGGCGCCGUAAGUCGGGUGUGAAAUUUCGGAGCUUAACUCCGAAACUGCAUUCGAUACUGCGGUGCUUGAGGACUGGAGAGGAGACUGGAAUUCAUGGUGUAGCAGUGAAAUGCGUAGAGAUCAUGAGGAAGACCAGUGGCGAAGGCGGGUCUCUGGACAGUUCCUGACACUGAGGCACGAAGGCCAGGGGAGCAAACGGGAUUAGAUACCCCGGUAGUCCUGGCAGUAAACGGUGCACGUUUGGUGUGGGAGGAUUCGACCCCUUCCGCGCCGGAGCUAACGCGUUAAACGUGCCGCCUGGGGAGUACGGCGCAAGUGAACUCAAAGAAAUUGACGGACCCGCACAAGCGGUGGAGCAUGGGUUAUUCGAUGCACCGAGACUACUG